CUUGCACAGGACAGAAUCGCAUCAGCCACUGUCCCCUGGAGCAGGAGCAGCCACAGGCCUGCUGAGGGAUUCCGUGUGGCCACAGGUAUGGCACUGUGUACACAGUGGAUAGCAUGGAAGUCUGCACCACCUGCUCCAGAACCUUCAGGGCAACC
rnacentral:lncRNA from 1 species